GGGCGGGGCUAGCACGCAGACCGAGACAGACGCCAUUUGCUGGAGCUCCUCUAAACAAACCUGAAAUCUGCCAGAUAUCAUCGGAACAAGAGCCCAUCCAGCCUCAAAACUCACAAAAUCGGAAUCCGCUGAACGAGCUGAAAACGUAGAUGCCCUUCUUUCAGCCGCAAAAACAGCCUAAGCGGCGACGUAAAAUCGAGGCCUACCACCCUCUCCAGAUCCCCAGCCUCGCGUCACUCUUCGGCGGAGACCUCGCGGAACGGCCAACCCUAUCACAUACAUCGCCCAACACACUCACCAUGGGCCGUAAAUCACAGAGACCCGCCACAGGGUCGGAUACGAGGGACAUUGGGGCGAUGCUCCAGAAGCCCAAACAAACCCAGGCCGGAGACCAACCGGAAAUAGUACCAGAACCGGACCGCCACGAGAUGGAGGUACCACAACACCCCCAGGCGGUAAGAACCGCACUAGCGGACCCUAUGGAUGAUUCAGCCCAAACAACUAGGGGAGACCUGAAGGUCCUAUUAGCUGAUAUCCACAAGCUCCUGGCUGCAGAUUUAGCUGUAUUUAAAACACAGCUACAGGCCGUAACAGAGAGAGUCAAAGCCACAG